rnacentral:tRNA from 1 species
GAUCUUGUAGCUCAGUUUGGUUAGAGCGCCGUACUAAUACUGACGGACGGUCAGAUAGUCUGUAGCCAGCUAAAUGCGGCGGUCCACGGUUCGAUCCCGUGCAAGAUCA